rnacentral:rRNA from 1 species
UACCACGUGCUAGGAAGAACGGCUUUUCGGAGUGGUAAACUGCUUUUAUAGCCGACGAUUAUGACGGUAGGCUAAGGAACUAAGCCCCGGCUAACUAACGUGC